rnacentral:rRNA from 1 species
GUCCCUACGGGAGGCAGCAGUGGGGGAUAUUGCACAAUGGGGGAAACCCUGAUGCAGCGACGCCGCGUGAGUGAAGAAGUAUUUCGGUACGUAAAGCUCUAUCAGCAGGGAAGAAUAAUGACGGUACCUGACUAAGAAGCCCCGGCUAACUACGUGCCAGCAGCCGCGGUAAUACGUAGGGGGCAAGCGUUAUCCGGAUUUACUGGGUGUAAAGGGAGCGCAGGCGGCAGGAUGAGUCUGAUGUGAAAACCCGCGGCUCAACCACGGGAUUGCAUUGGAAACUGUCCAGCUAG